AACGCGAAGAACCUUACCUGGGCUCGAAAUGUAGUGGAAUCGGGUGGAAACAUCCGCGUCUCGCAAGAGACUGCUAUAUAGGUGCUGCAUGGCUGUCGUCAGCUCGUGUCGUGAGAUGUUGGGUUAAGUCCCGCAACGAGCGCAACCCUUAUCCCUAGUUGCCAUCGGGUCAAGCCGGGCACUCUAGUGAAACCGCUCAGGAUAACUGGGAGGAAGGUGGGGAUGACGUCAAGUCCUCAUGGCCUUUAUGUCCAGGGCUACACACGUGCUACAAUGGUCGGUACAAACCGUCGCAAACCCGUGAGGGGGAGCUAAUCGGAAAAAGCCGGCCUCAGUUCGGAUUGGAGUCUGCAACCCGACUCCAUGAAGCUGGAAUCGCUAGUAAUCGCGGAUCAGAACGCCGCGGUGAAUACGUUCCCGGGCCUUGUA
rnacentral:rRNA from 1 species